rnacentral:rRNA from 1 species
UGAAUACGAGACGCUAAGGCGUCGAAGUAGUGUAUGUCAUACUUCCAAGAAAAGCUUGCACUGUCAUAGAUAAAAAACGCCUGUACCAUAACCGACACAGGUGGGUAGGUAGAGUAUACUAAGGGGCGCGAGAUAACUCUCUCUAAGGAACUCGGCAAAAUAACUCCGUAACUUCGGGAGAAGGAGUGCCUUAUUCUUAAGGUUGCAAUAACAAGAUCCAAGCAACUGUUUAUCAAAAACACAGGUCUCCGCUAAGUCGUAAGACGAUGUAUGGGGGCUGACGCCUGCCCAGUGCCAGAAGGUUAAAGAAGCUGGUUAGCAUUUGCGAAGCUAGUAACUGAAGCCCUGGUGAACGGCGGCCGUAACGAUAACGGUCCUAAGGUAGCGAAAUUCCUUGUCGGGUAAGUUCCGACCCGCACGAAAGGCGUAAUGAUUUGGAUACUGUCUCGGAGAGGGGCUCGGUGAAAUAGACUUGUCUGUGAAGAUGCGGACUACCUGCACCAGGACAGAAAGACCCUAUGAAGCUUUACUGUAAUUUGAAAUUGAAAUUGGACUUUAUUCGCGCAGUAUAGGUGGGAGGCGUUGAUUAUAAUCUUGCGGGAUUAUUGGAGCCAUUAGUGAGAUACCACUCUUGUAAUGUUAGAUUUCUAACUUUGAAUCAUUAUCUGGUCAAAGAACAGUUUCAGGCGGGCAGUUUGACUGGGGCGGUCGCCUCCUAAACGGUAACGGAGGCGUACAAAGGUUUCCUCUGAACGGUUAGAAAUCGUAUCUAGAGUGUAAAGGCAUAAGGAAGCUUGACUGUGAGACCUACAAGUCGAGCAGGGACGAAAGUCGGUCUUAGUGAUCUGACGGUACUGAGUGGAAAGGCCGUCACUCAACGGAUAAAAGUUACUCUAAGGAUAACAGGCCGAUCUCCCCCAAGAGUUCACAUCGACGGGGAGGUUUGGCACCUCGAUGUCGGCUCAUCGCAUCCUGGGGCGGUAGUACGUCCCAAGGGUUGGGCUGUUCGCCCAUGAAAGCGGUACGCGAGCUGGGUUCAGAACGUCGUGAGACAGUUCGGUCCAUAUCCGGUGUAGGCGUUAGAAUAUUGAGAGGAGCCUUCUUUAGUACGAGAGGACCGAGAAGGACAUACCUCUGGUGUACCAGUUAUCGUGCCAACGGUAAACGCUGGGUAGCUAUGUAUGGAGUGGAUAACCGCUGAAAGCAUCUAAGUGGGAAGCCCACCUCAAGAUAAG